rnacentral:rRNA from 1 species
GAUGAAUGCUGGCGGCGUGCCUAACACAUGCAAGUCGAGCGGCAGCGCGGUCUUCAGACUGGCGGCGAGCGGCGGACGGCUGAGUAACGCGUGGGAACAUACCCCAAAGUGAGGGAUAACCGCCCGAAAGGGUGGCUAAUACCGCAUAUGAUCUUCGGAUUAAAGGAUUUAUCCGCUUUGGGAAUGGCCUGCGUACGAUUAGAUAGUUGGUGAGGUAAUGGCUCACCAAGUCGACGAUCGUUAUCUGGUCUGAGAGGAUGAUCAGUCAGACUGGAACUGAGACACGGUCCAGACUCCUACGGGAGGCAGCAGUGAGGAAUCUUCCACAAUGGGCGAAAGCCUGAUGGAGCAACGCCGCGUGCAGGAUGAAGGCCUUCGGGUUGUAAACUGCUUUUAUGAGUGAAGAAUAUGACGGUAACUCAUGAAUAAGCACCGGCUAACUACGUGCCAGCCGCCGCAGUAA